UGGAAGGCUACAUAUAAUCCAUGGGAUCACAAAGAGUGGGACAUGACUGAGAGACUAACACUUUCACUUUAUCAAAUCACUGUGUUCCCCCAACAGGAUGAGAGAGGUUUACUCUCUAGAGAAGUGGAAUCUAAGAGGCCCUAUGCCCAGGACACUGGGCAGAGACAGGAGGAAAGAGUGAGGUCACAGCAUGGAAGAAAGUAUAGGGAAGAAUCCACAUCUUGAAUUCAGACUCAGCUCCUUUCUGCAUCCUGCUUCCUGAAAUUCAGCAGCAAGAGAAUAACUCCAGAGAGUGAACACUCUGGAGAAAAGACCUCCAAAUAUUUCCAUGUAGAUAGAUAAUUCUCUUAAUGUGUCUAGCAGAGUGAAUGAAAUAAAAACAUUCACCCCAAGAUAGAGGGUCGUGAAACUUCAGAACACCAGGAUAGAAGAGAAAAUCACAAAAACUUUCAGAGAAAUUUAGCAGGUCAUAGAUAAAGGAUUAGAGUUCACAACAGCAUCAGAAUUCAAGAGCAACUAUCAAACUGGGUAUUGAUUUUAUAAAGGGUAUUUUCAGACCAGUGUGUUUGACAAAAUUUUUACCCACUCUCCCUUUUCUCAUCCAAAUGCCUGAGUCACGUCAUAAGAAGCCAUGGCACUUGGUUCCGCGAUCUCCAGGGGCUUUUAGGGCCUUCGCCUCCUGUCACCCGGGUGCCGCGGCGCAGGUGGGAGACAGACGGCCCCCUGGCUGGGUGUUGUCCUCGCGGCCAGCGGGAAGCGAGCGAUCCCUUAGAAGCCUAGGGGUUCUGCGACCCCUCUUACCAACGCCAUGGCAAUUUCAGGUUGCAACAAGGACAGUGUCCGAGCAGGCUGUAAAAAAUGUGGCUACCUUGGUCACCUGACUUUUGAAUGCCGCAAUUUUCUCCGAGUAGAUCCCAAAAGGGAUAUAGUUUUGGAUGUCAGCAGCACAAGCAGUGAAGAGAGUGAUGAAGAAAAUGAGGAACUGAAUAAACUGCAAGCAUUGCAAGAAAAAAGAAUUAAUGAAGAAGAGGAAAAGAAAAAAGCAAAGAGAAAAUCAAGUUGAAAAAAAAAAAGGAAGUGGUCUUAUUCAUCUAGUUCCACUGAAGAGGACACUUCAAAACAAAAGAAGCAAAAAUACCAGAAGAAAGAAAAGAAAAAGGAGAAAAAGAGUAAGUCAAAAAAAGGGAAGCAUCACAAAAAGGACAAAAAGAAGAGAAAAAAGGAAAAGCAUUCCUCUGCCCCUAACAGUUCUGAAAUCUCCAAAAAGUAACUGAGACUGGCCUGAGCUAUUAAAUUUAAAAAUUUAGUUUUGAAAAUUAUUUGACCUUAUUUGACCUUGAAAUUUGCCAUAUAAUUAUGCUUUGCAAUAAAUCACAGCCAUUUCCAUAUAGACAUUUUUUCAUAUAUAGGACCAUUAAUGUCUGACAAUAUUCUAAUGUGCUAUGAUUAUAGAGUAUUGAAUCAGUCUUAUUACUUGAUAGCCAUGCCCCAAGUAUGGAUAUCUGUGCAACAAAACUCAUCAUUUUUGAUAUUCCUUUCUGUGUUAAUGUUAUUACUUCAUAAGCUGAUUGUAAAUUGCUUUUCUACAGUCAACACAGGCAGUCUACCUAGCAGUAAAUGAAUAUUGCUGGAUUAAGUGUCCAUCUUCCAGUGAUAAAGCAAGGUAGGCUUGACACUGAAAAUUUUAAAAGCUUUAUAUCCUAUGAUAAUAUAUUACUAUUAAGAUAAUUAAAUUCUUCACUUGGAUUUUUUUUUUUUUUUGGAUGUCAUAGGAGAUGAAGCUGCUUUAUUGGUCUUGACUAGAACUUUUUAAAUGAAUGGUGUCAGCAGGAAUAUGAUAAUGAAAAUAUUUAUAAGAAAAUUUCACUGUUUUCUGAGAUGCAGAGUUUCUAGUACCUGCCUCCUUUAUUUUUGUAACAAAAUAUUUCUUCUUUGUUUAAAAAGACAAGUCUAGUUCAACCUAUUUGUAAGUCUGGUAGAGAUGAUGCUGUGUUGGGCAGGAUUUUUAGGACAGACUCCUGGGUUGUUUUACAAAUGUGCCAUAUUGGCAUGUCUUAAAGAGAUACCUCAAACACAGAGUUUUUUAUUUAGAAGGACAACAGCUAAAUCUUCAUUAGGACUGAUUUUUAUUGUAUUCAGUAUAUAAAUUUUAUGAAGCUUGUUUCUAUGAGUAAUGUGGAAAUUUUUAUAAAUGUGAACAUAUAUAUUUAUUUGUCUGAAAUAAUUUGUAGUUUUGAAGCAGGUUUCCAUUGAAUUUAUGAUUUCAUAAUAUGACCAGUUUGGGGUGUUUCUCUUACUUCAGUCAUAAAUCUCAGGAGCAGUGACAAAAAUUUAGGAUCAAGAAUUUUAUUCUGUACUUUUUAAAAUUUAAGAGCCCGGGAGUUGCAUCAUGAAAGCCUUUAUAUAAUAAUGAAAAUUUUGUAUGAGUCAGCAUUGUUGGACACAUAGUAGUAGGUAUAAAUGUUUCUACAUUAUUUUUAAAUUUCACAAUGAUCAGUGUUAGUGUUACUUACUUUGUGGAACACUCCAAUAUCCCUUACGUCCUAUAAGUUAAAUAAUUUUUAUUGCAGCAGCAUCAAAAGUCAGCUAGUUAUCAUAGCACAGCACCAAAGAUUGCCGAGUACCUCACUGUGGUGCAGUUACAAAUUGGUAGCCUACAGAUGUAGCUGUAGGUGUGUUCAUAAUGAUGAAAUCAGGUAAGUGUACAUAACCUCACAGGCUGGAAAGGUGGACUGAUUCUUCCUUCACCCAGCAGCCCUAGCUGGCAUGACCUCAGUAAGACUGGGAGAGCCUCAUAGCUCCUCUGAGUAUGUGCUUACCAGGCGUAGACUCUAGGGAAGCUACGUCCACAUCCCUGUUGUAGAAUUGCAGUUACGGAUGCUGCCACACUUGGAGCUUUUCAAUAACCCAGCUUAGUCUGGUGGCCUCCUUUAAAAGACAUCCACUUGUUUAAAUGUGCUAGUCAGUUAUUUGGAGAGAAACACAGAGCUGUUAGGUUUUUAAGGGUUUGUUUUGCCUUUGCUGUAGUUUAUUUUUUAAAAUGGUACUUUAUGAAAAUACAGUCCUUUGGUUAUCAGGAUUAAAAAAAGUAAAAAAAAAAAAUUCCAACUUUAAAAAGAUGAUUAGAAAGUGCUACAUGCAAAUAGAUGGUCUCAACUGUAUUGAGGGUGUAAUGUGGUUAAAAGUGAUCAUUGUAGUGACACAGAGUUAAUCCAGUUAUUUGUAAGUUUUAUUUCUGUUAAUUAUAGAGACAAUAAAUUGG